rnacentral:rRNA from 1 species
GCGUGCUUAACACAUGCAAGUCGAACGGUAAGGCCCCUUCGGGGGUACACGAGUGGCGAACGGGUGAGUAACACGUGAGCAACCUGCCCUUGACACUGGGAUAAGCGAUUGAAAAGUCGUCUAAUACCGGAUAUGACUCUCACAGGCAUCUGUGAGGGUGGAAAUGCUCCGGCGGUCAAGGAUGGGCUCGCGGCCUAUCAGCUUGUUGGUGAGGUAACGGCUCACCAAGGCUUCGACGGGUAGCCGGCCUGAGAGGGCGACCGGCCACACUGGGACUGAGAUACGGCCCAGACUCCUACGGGAGGCAGCAGUGGGGAAUAUUGCGCAAUGGGCGAAAGCCUGACGCAGCAACGCCGCGUGCGGGAUGACGGCCUUCGGGUUGUAAACCGCUUUCAGCAGGGACGAAGGGUUUCUGACGGUACCUGCAGAAGAAGCACCGGCCAACUACGUGCCAGCAGCCGCGGUGAUACGUAGGGUGCGAGCGUUGUCCGGAAUUAUUGGGCGUAAAGAGCUUGUAGGCGGUUUGUCACGUCGGAAGUGAAAACUCAGGGCUUAACCCUGAGCCUGCUUCCNAUACGGGCAGACUAGAGGAAGGNNGGGGAGAAUGNAACUCCUGGUGGAGCGGUGGAAUGC